rnacentral:rRNA from 1 species
GACGAACGCUGGCGGCGUGCUUAACACAUGCAAGUCGAACGAGUGGCGAACGGGUGAGUAAUACGUGGGUAACCUGCCCUCUUUUUGGGAUAAGCCUUGGAAACGGGGUCUAAUACCGAAUAAAGGGGGAUGGGCUCGCGGCCUAUCAGCUUGUUGGUGGGGUGAUGGCCUACCAAGGCGGUGACGGGUAGCCGGUCUGAGAGGAUGAGCCGCCACACUGGUACUGAUCCACGGCCCAUACUCCUACGGGAGGCAGCAGUGGGGAAUUUUGGACAAUGGGCGCAAUCCUGAUCCAGCCAUGCCGCGUGUCUGAAGAAGGCCUUCGGGUUGUAAAGGACUUUUGUUAGGGAAGCGGUACCUAAAGAAUAAGCACCGGCUAACUACGUGUCAGCCGCCGCGGUAAUAC